GCGCGCCCCUUCCCGGACAGUUCCUCUCGGCGCCCCCGAGUCCUCCCCGCGCGCCGCUUCCCGGGUGGGCCCUUCCACCAGAACCCCCUGGUAGAUCCUCCCCUGGUGCCCUGGGGGUAGAGGGGAGAUCCUCCACAAGGGCCAUUUCCCUGGUGAUCCCUCCCUGUGCCCCACAGGUGAGUCCUGCCGUAGCUCUCCAGGGGUUCCUCCUGAUGCUGGGGUCCUCCGGCAUUCCUCCCUGAGCCCCCCAAGGGCCCUGAAGCUCAGCGGCCCAGCCCUGGCCUCGGGGUCCCCACCCCACACCUCCCUUCCAGGCCUAACCUUUGCCCCCGACACCAGGCAGGGCGUGUCCUUGGCCUUCGCCGCCCAGCCCGCGUGGCAUCUCUGGACAGGUGGUCGUGCGCGCCUUGGUGUGGGCAGGCUCCGUAGCCGGCAAAGCCUCCCUGAACCGUGACCUGGUGAGAAGGCCGCAGAGGAGGUGCCUGUGCCCAGAGGCCACCUCCAAAGACCCCACCUGAGGCUGGAACCCAGCGCCUGCUGACCCCGCCAGCCCCAACAGGGCUGGAGUCCAGGAGCGGCCGUGCUCUUUCCGCAGUGAGGCAGCUGCCUUCUCUUCCCACCACCUGUCAGGAUGCCUUCCCGUGUGUGCUUGUGCACAGGUCUAAGGAGAGGAGAGUCCAGUGAGUGACCCAGACGCCCCAGCCAGGAAGAGCAUGAGGUGCGAAGGGGGCUUCCCAGAUGGAGAGAAACAGAUGGUCCCAGAGUGGCUUGGAGACAGGUGCAACAUCAGUGUUGGGGGAGGACAUGGAGCGGAGCGUUCAGGGCUAUCAGGAGGGAGCCCCGUGGCCACGGUGCAAGAUCUAGGCAGGCGGGACAGACAUGGUCAGGAUGCUGGGGACACAGCAUGGGGAAUCCAGCACACAGGACACCAUCCAGGAAAGCAAAGCUGCAGCCUGAGAUCUCCUUCCACCAACUCCUGGCAUGGCCAGAAAGUUAGCCAGAAACACCAGAAAGUGCCAGGCAGCUAGGAAGCAUGGGGAGAGCCCCCUGAAGCUGCGUGUGUAGUGCCUGCUUCCGCUGCCAUCCCAGAAAUGGACGAGCUUCACCCUGAGAACCCAGCCACACCACUGGGACACAUCCUGACAGUGACAUGCACACUCUUCCCUGGCCCCAGCCUGGAGAGGAGCCUCCUGAAGACACCAGCCUUUGCUCCUUCUCCCAGUGGGAGUGGAGAGAACUGACUGCUGGAGUGGAGACAGUCAAGGCUGUCCUUCUGAGGGAGCACAGCACAGGGUCUGGUGUCCCAGGGAGGCAAUCUGAAAUUCAAGCCAGGCCUCCCCAGCGGAGAGGACACACCCCUCACCAUGCAGAGUGACGUUUAGUAAACUCUCAAAAGAGAGCACAGAGCCCCACUCCUCCAGCCGACCCAUACUCUGCCUCCCCACUCCAGACCAGUGAACAAGGUGGAUUGCCCUUAAGCCAGCUCAGAGGCAAAGUCCAAAGACCUCAGGUGAGUCAAACAAUAAAAACAAAGAAUUAAGAAGAAUCCAGCUGGGUGCGGUGGCUCACGCCUGUAAUCCCAGCACUUUGGGAGGCUGAGGCGGGAGGAUCACGAGCAGGAGGUCGAGACCAUCCUGGCUAACACGGUGAAACCCCGUCUCUACUAAAAAUAGAAAAAAUUAGCUGGGCGUGGUGGCGGGCGCCUGUAGUCCCAGCUACUCCGGAGGCUGAGGCAGAAGAAUGGCGUGAACCCAGGAAGCGGAGCUUGCAGUGAGCCGAGAUCAUGCCACUGCACUCCAGCCUGGGCGACAGAGCGAGACUCCGUCUCCAAAAAAAAAAAAAAAAAAAAAAUCCAUCCACUCCAUCCACUUAGUAGCAGAGCGAAUAGACAUUCAGGAAAGAGCUUUCACGUCAGAAAGCACUACAGAAGUAGUGGCAUAUCCCCGGAGGCUGAGGUGGGAGCAUUGCUGAGAGGUGGCACGUGACCACAUCCAUGUCAUUCAACAACAGAAAAACAAGUCAUCGAGGGUGUGAGGGGCCGGUGAGAAACCCAGUAUGGAAGAAAACACAACUGGGCUGAGCGUGGUGGCUCACGCCUGUAAUCCCAGCACUUUGGGAGGCCAAGGCAGGAGGAUCACCUGAGGUCAGGAGUUCGAGACCAGCCUGGUCAACAUAGUGAAACCUCAUCUCUACUAAAAAUACAAAAAAAUUAACUGGGUGUGGUAGCGCGUGCCUGUAGUCCCAGCUACUCCGGAGGCUGAGGCAGGAGAAUUGCAUGAACCCAGGAGCCGAGACCACACCACUGCACUCCAGCCUGGGGGCGGCACAGUGAGACUCCGUCUCAAAGAAACAAAAAUAAAAAAUAAAUAAAUAAAUAAAUAAAUAAAUAAGAAAACGCAACCAAAGAAACAGAAGAGGACUCCACAGGACUUCUUUCAGAGCUUCAUAGCAGCAUGAAUUCAACAAUCAGGAAUUCAAAUGCUUGACGACAAAACAGCAGGAUGGGAGGAAGAGUUAAGAGCCAAGCAAACCGGAAGCACCAAAAUCGCACCGUGGCUGGAUCAAGUCAUAAACAGCAAAGGGCAGAAUAUCAAGUUACUUGGAGAUGAAAGGCUUGAGAUAAUUUCA
rnacentral:lncRNA from 1 species